AAGAUGUUGAUAAGGAUGGAAGACGAAAGAGUGAGAAGUACAAGGAUGAGAGAAAUAGGGAGAAGUACCGAGAAGAUGUUGAUAGGGAUGGCAAGGAAAGAGAUGAGCAACUUGUUAGAGAUCACAUCAGCAGGUCAAAUGACAGAGAUUUGAGAGAUGAGAAGGAUGCAAUGGAUAUGCAUCAUAAGAGAAACAAGCCUCAAGAUAGUGAUCUUGAUAGAGAGGUAACCAAGGCCAAACG
rnacentral:misc_RNA from 1 species